rnacentral:rRNA from 1 species
UGUGUAGGCGGUUCUUUAAGUUUGGUGUGAAAUCUCCCGGCUCAACUGGGAGGGUGCGCCGAAUACUGAGGGACUCGAGUGCGGGAGAGGAAAGUGGAAUUCCUGGUGUAGCGGUGAAAUGCGUAGAUAUCAGGAGGAACACCGGUGGCGAAGGCGGCUACCUGGACAGAAACUGACGCUGAGGCGCGAAAGCUAGGGGAGCAAACA